UACGUAGGGCGCAAGCGUUGUCCGGAAUUAUUGGGCGUAAAGAGCUCGUAGGCGGUUUGUCACGUCGGAUGUGAAAGCCCGGGGCUUAACCCCGGGUCUGCAUUCGAUACGGGCAGACUGGAGUGUGGUAGGGGAGAUCGGAAUUCCUGGUGUAGCGGUGAAAUGCGCAGAUAUCGGGAGGAACACCGGUGGCGAAGGCGGUUCUCUGGGCCUUACCUGACGCUGAGGAGCGAAAGCGUGGGGAGCGAACAGG
rnacentral:rRNA from 1 species